GGAGUCGUAACAAGGUUUCCGUAGGUGAACCUGCGGAAGGAUCAUUG
rnacentral:rRNA from 1 species